AAGGCAUGCUUCGGAUUACCGAGGCAAUAGGUAUUAAGAGAGCUGUCGAGAAAGAACUCGAUUAGUUUGCAUCGACCUACCCUCGCCCACUUUCUGUGAUAAGCCAUCCUGCCACUAAUUCUAUCAAAAAGUUCCAAAAUCUUAUUUACGGAGAAAAAUUUGAUAAGCAGGUCGAUGGUAUACAAAUGUCACCCAAUGAAAUGGCGAAUGUUUGUUGCGAUCGGUGGAUCUCAUCUGAUCAUGUACAUUGGUUGCUUGACGAUCUAAAUAUUUCACAGAAAAAAACUCUUUGAGUUCACAUCAAUCACGUGUUGGAUGUAGAGGCGUUCGUGGCUCGCUCUCUUCCAGAUGGCCAGUCAAAGCCAACGAGUUUGAUCUUUGCCCUUAAUGUGGGUAAGGAUUCAAGUGGCAAUGUAUUCAUUGCAAGCGGAUACCGGAGUGGUUGUCACUGGACAAUGUGCCAUGUUGAUCGGGAAAAAAAGAAAAUAGUCUAUGGUGACUCACUGGCUUGGAGCGUACCAGUCGCCCUCUUGCCUAGAUUAGAGCAAUUCAUCGAGCACAUUUAUGGAGAAUGUUUAUCCGACUACUCCGUUUUCGAGUGUCACACUUCAAGUAACGUUUUCACUGAACGGGAGCACAAAUGUGGAUUCAGCUGUGCAUCUCAAUACCCCCUUCAGACAUGCUCUAAUAUAUGCGGCGUUGUGGUGUUGAUUAUGGCUGUGUACGCCUGUACAGCCCGAUCAUUUUUUUCUUACAUUACCAAUUCAGGUCAAUCGCAGGCGGUGUCACCUUCAAAUGUCUUCAUAAGUGCCCCACGCGCUAUACAAAGUACUUGCGUAGAGUGAUGAUGGGAUGGAUCGGUGAGAAAUCAAUUAACCCUGAGCAUGUGGUUCCAUCUUCUUUUCUUCGCCCCGAACUUAGUCACGAGAGCCAGUCAGACUCCGAUUCGGACUUGGACACUCCUAGAGUACCAUCAUCAAAAGGAGACAUAGAUGAGAGAGACAACACCGCAGAGAACAAUGAGAAGGGACUUUGUAUUCAAGGAAAAGCGGAAAGGGCAGGCAGAACUGAGAGCACUCAAAGCAGUAGUGAAGCAGAGGAUAAAAUCCUGGACAACAAACAGUUACAAAAGAUCAAUGGUAACUAGGAAAAAAAAGUCAACAAAAGUGAAAACAGAAAUGACAAGGCCAGUCAAGAGAAAUACCGUAAUAUUCCUGUUAAGAGAGUGGGUGGAGAGAAAGAUGGAAAAAACAAGGGUGAUCGUGACAGAGCAACUGACGGCGAUGGAGUCACUUGUGAUGAGAAGAGAAACUGUGAUGACAGCCCAAAGCAUAGGCCAGGUAAUGGAGAGCAGCAUAGAGGUGAACGAGGAACCGGGAAGUCUCAUCAAUGUCCUGAAUGUGAAUAUUCUUGUGUUAAACUAUCAAACAUGAAGAGACACAUCAACCGAAAACAUACUAGGGCUGUCGGGAAGAGAGCGUUCCAAAGUGGGAAGUGUCUAUGUCUUGAGGGUGGCCACCGAUGUUUCAGGAUUAAGGACCUAAGGAAACAUUUGUCUACAGAACACGGCGUGAUAUUCAGGACAGAAAUUUUGCAAAUGCAAAAUGCUAAGGAAUUCGAGACGUGGAAAGCGGACACUGAGGAGAAGGAAGGCUGCUCUUUUGUCAAGGCGACAGGUGCGUUACUUAAAGAAAGCGGUAACCCUUGAAAAUGCAAUAAGGGCAGUCUCUGCAGGCAAUUAACAUGUCUCACUUUCAACCAGUAAUUGUUAAUUAAUUAAUUGAUUAAUUAGUUAAUUCAUUCAUUCAUUCAUUCACUUAUUUGUUAACUUUUUAUUUGCUUACUUAUUUACUAAUAAAGGUUCCAAGAAACAAAAAGACAGUGUGCUUAGGGUCGAUUAUUUCCAGUGCAACCGUUGUGGGAGUCAGAGGCCACGCAGAACUGGAAAGAGAAGAGGAAAGUCUCAAGGAACCUGCAAGAUAGAGAGGAACUGUACUUCCACACUUAAUGUAUGUUGAAUCUAGCGGAUGGCAAAGCAAAAGUGCUAUACCCACUAUGGCCACACAAGAGACAUCCAGCAUACGUGGCUGCCAAAA